AUGAAACUAUUCAGAUCUUUUGGAUCAAUAAACACCUAAAAAUUCAAAGGUUGACAUGGACAAUGUAUCCAGGGUGCCAGAGGUUUGUGUUUGUACAAAGAGUUAUUUAGACAUCGAUGAAUAAACAUCAUAAAGUUUCUGUAGAGAAGGGAUAGUUGAGAAGACUUAGAGUAUUAACUCCAUUCAAGAAACGUAUGCAUUUCUAAAAGAAGCUGUGUGAAAAGAGUCUCACUUUAAGAAUAUUUUUUAAGUGCAAAUAGUUUCUACUUCCUGCCCCCUUCCUCCACCUUGUCUCACUCAUGAAUAUUUGUUUUGAUACCGGGUUUUCUUAAGGCAGAUUUACAUUUCUUUAACAUGUCAUUAGAGCUAUCUAGUUAGAAGCCACAGUAUGGUAGAAAGGAUACAACUCAGAAUUGAGACCCAGGUUCUAGGUCUGUUUGUUAUCUAGAACAGAUUUGGUUUUUGUCUGUGGAAAAAGUCAUUUAGAGUUUUUGUAUUUGUUUCCUCAAAUGCUGGAUGUGCCCUCUCUCCACAGAACCUGGUGAAGUGUUCUGAGAAGCAAAAAAGUACAAUGCGAAUUCCAGCCCUCCAGUUCUCGUAUCUCCUUUCCUCCAGGGAAGACACUCACCAGGAGAGGCAGGCGAGCGGCUGUGAGCGUUGAGACAGUGUUUGAUCUCCAGGAAGUCUCCUCUCAGCCUCCAGAGCCCAGUGUGGCGUCUGACCCAGGAAACCUAAGUGAAGGGGGAAAAGCUUGAAGCAUUGCCCUGGUUUUGGCACUCGGCUGAGGCCUCAGCAUUCUGCUCAACCUCACCAAGGUCUGCUCUUCAGAACUGAGAGCUGCACACAGAGGAAGUUGCUGAGCCACUGUGAUAAGGAAGCAUAAUGACAAGACUUACUUUCCUGGCAACUUGGAAAAAAGAAAGCUUUUUAACCUUGCAUAAGUACUUGUGUCAACUCCCAAUGUCCUGUACAUUAACUCAAGAAUCCUGACAGUCACUCCUAUUGUGUGAGGUGUAUUUGCAAAAGGGUUAGGAGCAAAGGUUCUGGAGUCACACUGCCUUCAGUCUAAUCCUCACGUCACAACUCACUAGUUUUGUGUCCUGAAACACAAGACUAAUCCAUUCUGAAACAUUUUCCUCACCUGAAACCCAGGAUAAUAUUGAUGCCCAUCUCCUAGGGCUGUUGGAAGGCUCAUUUACAAUCUUAGCACAAUGCCUGCCACGAAGUAAGUACUAGUUAAAUAAUUAUUGCUAUUGUUGUUUGGCCAAUAGUAAUUAUCUUGCACAAAAUCAAACACCAGUAAGAAGGUGGAAAUCCUAGUCUUCUGACUCCAAAUCCCAGGCUCUUUCUCUUACCAUACUUUACGCUACUGAAUGUUUAUUGCUUCGUUAAAUGAUUAAAAUACCACAGUACUGUUUGUGUUAUCCAUUGA